rnacentral:rRNA from 1 species
GACGAACGCUGGCGGCGUGCCUAAUACAUGCAAGUCGAGCGAAGUUUUUCUGGUGCUUGCACUAGCAAAACUUAGCGGCGGACGGGUGAGUAACACGUAAAGAACCUGCCUCAUAGACUGGGACUACUAUUGGAAACGAUAGCUAAUACCGGAUAACAGUAUUUCUCGCAUGAGAGAUAUUUAAAAGUUGGUUAUGCUAACACUAUGAGAUGGCUUUGCGGUGCAUUAGCUAGUUGGUGGGGUAAAGGCCCACCAAGGCGACGAUGCAUAGCCGACCGGUGAGGGGGAUCGGCCACACUGGGACUGAGACACGGCCCAGACGCCUACGGGAGGCAGCAGUAGGGAAUCUUCCGCAAUGGUCGAAAGCCUGACGGAGCAACGCCGCGUGAGUGAAGGAGGAGUUCGGUUCGUAAAGCUCUGUUGUUAGGGAAGAAUGGAUAUGUAGUAACUAUACAUGUAAGAGACGGUACCUAGCCAGAAAGCCACGGCUAACUACGUG